CAUAGCCCUUUAGAUCAACUUCCUUGUCACCAUUAAUUCUUUCGGGUCUCUGGGCCAUGGCAUCGUCUGCCCUUUGGGAAAGCCGGGACAGGGGGGAAAUAAUGAAAGAAAUUAAUUAGGAAGGGAGGGGCUAGGGACCUCACUGGAUGUUGGGGGUGGAAAUCUUAAGAUCGUUUGCAAAACACCAGCCCCAACAUCCCUUGGGAGGCUGAGCUGUGACCUCUUCUCGUGUCCCCGCCCGCUGAAGUUCGCUCCUAGAAAAAUCCGCUCGCGUCGCCAAGAGCGCAGGCGAGGAUCUCAGCGAAGCAGAAGCUCCCGUGCCUGCGGGGACAGUGAGAGCCGAGCUUACACCAGCUCCUUGGCGCGCCUCCUCCGAGCUGGGGGACGCCGAACGCGGACCUCGGAGUAGGCGGCCAAGGCGGGGCACCCUCGCGCCGGCGGGAGGAGCCCCGGAGGUGGGAGCAGCGGCGGCGCGGUAACCCGCACCCGGCGCGCACGGCCACCGGGCGCCGGCGCCUCCAGCAUGGAGUGGGAGCUCAACUUUCUGCUCUACCUGGCGCUUUUCUUCUUCCUGCUCUUCUUACUUUUCCUGCUGCUCUUCGUGGUCAUCAAGCAGCUGAAGAACUCCGUGGCCAGCACGGCCGGGGCCCUCCAGCCCGGUCGCCCCUCGCUGCACCGGGAGCCUUGGGGCUUCUCCCGCGAGCAAGCGGUGUGAGCGACGAGGCGCGGGAACGGGCGGGAGGGCGCGGAGCCGCGCGGGCGCCGGCCUGGGUCUCGGCCUCGACUCUCCGUCCACGCGGCCGCCCUGGUUCCGGUGCCAGGCUCGGCUGCAGCGCCGGCAGACACUUUUUCUACGAGUUCCAUCAUCUCGAGUUCUGGAGCCGAGCCCCGGACUGGCAUGCCGAGGUCCGCAGCUGCGCUUACAGCCCGGUGAUGGGGGACGCUGCCUGGAGAGGACCCUGACAACCCGAGAGGGAAGUUUUCUGCAAAUGGAAGAAGACGAUGGUGGAUCUUGGGUGGACAACCAGCAGUCUGUGCCCUGGCUACAGAAUACAGCUGUAAAGGAGUAUAAGGUCUGAAACAGAUCAAAACUACAGCUCCUUCACACCUGGCAACACUCCAAAGAACAGGGCUCUGCUCUGAGGAAGUGAGCAGAGUGAAGACAUGCUAGGUUUUCUCACCAAACACAUGCCAGGACUGACCUCUCUCAGCCAAUAUAUUUGCCCCACAUCAGGAUUUUCUAGAGGAGGACCUGGGAAACCUGCACACUUUCUUGGUGGACAUAAUCUCUUUAUGGAGGUUUAGAAUGGGAUAAAGAAUGUUUCACCUUGCUACUUCCCCAUCUGCCUUGUUUAUCUCUUCCCUAAUUUUCCUGACAGAUUUUUGGUGGAGCCUGGUUUGUAUAUUUGAUCCCCAUAAAAGGAUGAUCCUUUUCAUGCACAGGGCAGGGUAAUCUAUGAAAAGAAAGGCUACUUGACUCCCUUCUCUGACUCCACCCCACCCUAGGAAUAUCCUGGGAGAAGAAUUGCUUCUCAAAGCUGCUUCCAUAAGCAGCCUACAUCCUGGCUAAGCGAAGGGAGAAGAAACACUUCCCACAUCCAGGGCUGUCCAAAGGAACUUUCUGUGAUGACAGAAAUGUUCUGUAUCUUCACUGUCUCCUACAGUAGCCACUAGCAACAUGCGGCUAGUGAACACUUGAAAUGUGGGUAGUGUGACUGAGGAAGUAAUUUUAAGAAUUUUAGUUAGUUUUAAAGAAUUUAAAUGUAAAUAGCCACUUGCGGCUAGUGGCUAUUGUAUUGUAUAGCACAGUAGACACUUUUCUGUUUCUUGUGCUUAGAACUAGCUGGGAGAGGUUUGAACCAGUCAUGUGCUUGGUGUUCCGUGAUCUUCACUACUCCAUGUUGCCAUUGAACUUGUCUCCCAGAGGAGAAAUGAUAUUUUGGAACUAAAUUCAAGAUAUUAACUUCACAUCUACACAUUGCACAUGUUCCUGUGUAAACACAAUGGUCUCCUGGGAAUAGGGCCUGUGAUUGACUUUAGUGGUGGUUGGUAACGGAAAAAUGGUGGUGUCAAUCCACUUCACGUUCCUAGUGAACAUUUUGUAUUGCUAGUCAGAAUGAGUCACCAGAGAUUAUUUCAUUCUGUUGUGCAAUUCAUUCUGUUAUUUUAUUUUUAUAAUAUUGUGGCUGCUAAAAUGAUUAUGCCGUGUAUGUUUUUCAAAAUACUUAGUGGUUUAUAUUUUUUAAAAGGCUGUGAAAUAAAAAUAUAAUUAUGUGUAA